rnacentral:sRNA from 1 species
GCACAAGAGAGAAAGCAGAAAUCACAGAGUGUGCCCUGGAGUGAUCCCAAGUAGAACAAGGCCCCCCCUCGACCUUUGACAAUUUUUGGACUUUCCAAGCAGGAAGACUGAGGGGAGAAGAGAAAAAUCCUGCCGCCAGAGAGGUGCCUUCCAACUUGGGCCCCACGCUGCUCCUCCCAGUCCUGUAAAGCCUGAGAAAAUGAAAGGUCCAAGACUCUUCAGCACUUUGUGACAGUUCCCUCCAGACUCAACUCCUCCACGUGGGAUGGAGGUUUGAAAAAUCACGGAAAUGAGACCGGAGAGAUGACUGUCUGACUGGUCAGUAAAGCGCUUGCACACAAGUCCCGAUUCCCAGAGCAGAUGUCAAAGCCAAGUAAGGGGGUUGUGAAUCUAUCCCUGAGUUGGGGAAUCUGAGAUAGGAGGAUCCUCAGAGCUCAUUGGCCGGCCUGCUGGAAUCCACAAGAUCAUUUCACUGAAAGACUCUAGCUCAAUAAAGUGGAGAGCAACUGAGGAAGACGCUUAACAUCAACUCCUGGCCUCCAGACGGGUGCACAAAUCAUAUACCCCCACACACACACACACACAAGAUAUACUGUUAGAGAAAUCCCAAACUUCAGAUGGGGGAUCUACUUGUCUCGGUAUUUCUUGGACCUGAAGUCAUCAAGUCCUUCCCUGACCCUGUAGGCGAUGUUCCCAUUUAACAGACAGGAAAAUCCCAAGCCGGUAACUAAAGUCUUUAAGGAGCAGGAACAAGAGGAUUAUGUAUGCCAAGACUGAGCCCUGCUUGAACUAUAUAGUGCCAGCGUUCAUCGCAAAAUCCUGUCGGGGGGGGUAGUGUGGGGGUGGGGACAAAAGAAGUAAAACGAGAACAACAACGACGACAACAACAAAACAGCCAACUAUCACUGCCACCACAAUAAACUAAUACCCAGGAGACAGAGUCUGGAUCCCCUAACUCAGAGCUGGUUAGGGGUUAGUGGCCUUGGAGGGUACCAGGCUGGACCCCUCCCUCAUAGCCAGCAGCCUGUAGAAUAAAAGCCAGACUUCAAUCAAUCCUUGGUCAGAAGAACGGGAUCUGAGUCUUAUCUCUGACUCUGGAAGGAGAGGUGACAUCUGGGACUGGUUACAAGGCCACACACAGAAGACAAGGCUCUUCGCAGAUAACUGCCGAUAACCAGCUUCAGAGCCCUAAUCCUGGAGGCUGAUGGCUGGCGAAGGGCUUUCUGUUGAACGUGCUGUUCUGUGAUAUGGCAGUCGUCGCCCUAUACAGGUCUAUCCGUCACUGGACAGAACAAAGUUGCUCAGGGAAAGGUGAAUCAUCUGUUCUAAAGACGGACCAGGGAGAUGGCUCAGCAGAGAGGCUAAGUAACCCAGGCCAGCCUUGAACUCACUGGGUAGCUGAAGAUGACAUUGAACUCCUGAAACUUCUGCAUCCACCUCUCAAAUACUGGGUUAUAGACCUGUGCCACCAUGCCUGCUUCAUGUGAUACUGGGAUCGAAUCAGGACGUCGUGCCUGCCAGCCACGGGACUGGAAACACAAUGGAAUUUGCAGGCUUGGUUCGCUCUAAUCGGCCCAAGCCACCCCCAGAUUUUCCGUUGGUUCCGCUGGUGGGCCAGCCUCUGAGAGAACAGCCCAGCUGAGGAUGCGGCCGCGCCAUCCACCCUGCAGCUGCGCAGUCGCCGGCUGGGACACUAGGGCGGGUCCUCUUGUUGUCCCCGCCGCCGCUGCUUCUCCGGCCGCCGCCUGCAGGGGGCGCCAGGGUCCGGGGCGCCGCAAUCCCUGCCGCCACCUUCAUCCCUACGAUGAUCCCUAGCCAGGAUUAUGCAGAUUUGGGAUGGCUAUGCACCUCAGAGCUCUAAACGGCACGGGGGCCGUGGCAUUUCAAACUACUUAGAUCAUGGGCCAGCGAUGUCUCCGGUGAUAAAAGACUGCGAUUGAAUAGUUUGCAAGCUACGAAUCUAUACCAAUAUCGGAGAAUAUUCCUAAUAUCCAAUGCGUGAUUGAUUAGAAAGGAGCAAACGGAAGGCUGGCUUGAGUAAGGGGGCGCCAAGAUCCCGCGCAGCAGAGAAUAUAAGGGUCCGGACUUGGGAUUCGAGAAGGAAGGUGCCGGCUUUCAGAGAGGGAGCAUUAAUAGAUGCUCAUCCGUUAACCUGUGGCUUUCCUUUGGGUCACCAGAGGUUAGGUCACGCUGUAAGAACCAAGGGAUUGGACUCAAGGACGCCUUUUUCGACAUAUGCUAAAUAUUCCAGGGGCGGGGGCGGGAGUCCCAUCAUGCAUUUGCACUCAGGAACGACGCCCUCAGUGGGCCAGCAACACAUAGAAAUACUAAUUGCUAUGGAGCUUAAAGAUUUUUGUAUGGAAGUGAUGUCACCUAUGCUCACAUCGCAUUGGCCAAAGCAAGUCACAUGUUUACAGCGAACCUCAAAGAUGGAAAAUCUGACUCCAUCCUGUAUGCAAAGGUGGUGGUGGGGGGGGGAGGUGUUUGGAAGCAACCCUGAGCUCGCGCGUCUCCCUGCCACUCAGGUGUAGUCACGUUCUCUGAAUGCCUGGGCCGGUAAAAACCGCAAGGAAAGGGAGGGAAUGGCUACUGGGUGCCAGUUACCUUUAUAUCCAGACCCUAAGGGGGACACAUCCUGGUAGAAGUUAGCAUCAGGGUCCUAGCUGGGACACAAAAGACCAUUUGCUAAAUUCUAGCCUAUCCCCUAUCAUUCGGUUACCACCUAGCCGACGAAAAUAUUUAGUUAAGAAUGGAGGGAAAAGGGGUU